CACAUUGCACCAAGUUUCUCUUAUAAUUUAAGAUAUGUAAUAAAAAUAGUUGAGAAUAAAUUAAACCAAUCACUUAAAAUAUAUGAUGAAAAACUUGGUGCGAUGUAUUAAUAAAACCGAAGCGUUAGAGUAUGCAACUCACAUGGAUAAUUUCGGAAGAAUUGAUUAUCAAGUUAAAAAUGGGAUGUUUUAAGUUUUAUAAAGUGUCAGAACUAAGAAACUUUCGACUUCAAUUCAAGUCCUGAGGGGUCUACUUAGAAACUAUUUGCAACUCUCUGUAAAUGUAACGUAAUUGAAUCCCC
rnacentral:lncRNA from 1 species